rnacentral:rRNA from 1 species
UGGGAUUAGAUACCCCACUAUGUAUAGCCUUAAACUUUGAUAGUAGUAAUACGUACACCUAUCCGCCCGGGUACUACGAGCGUUAGCUUAAAACCCAAAGGACUUGGCGGUGCCUCAGACCCCCCUAGAGGAGCCUGUUCUAGAACCGAUACUCCCCGUUUAACCUCACCACCUCUUGUCCCCACUGCCUAUAUACCGCCGCCGUCAGCUUACCCUGUGAAGGUAAAAUAGUAAGCACAAUUGGCAUAGCCUAAAACGUCAGGUCGAGGUGUAGCGCAUGAGGUGGAAGAAAUGGGCUACAUUCCCUGACCUAGGGUAUACGGAAGGGGGAUUGAAACAUCCCCCCAAAGGAGGAUUUAGCAGUAAGCUGGGAAAUAGAGUGUCCCGCUGAAGCCGGCUCUGAGGCGCGCACACACCGCCCGUCACCCUCUGCA